rnacentral:rRNA from 1 species
UACGUAGGCAGCAAGCGUUGUUCGGAGUUACUGGGCGUAAAGGGUGUGUAGGCGGUUGUUUAAGUUUGGUGUGAAAUCUCCCGGCUCAACUGGGAGGGUGCGCCGAAUACUGAAUGACUUCGAGUGCGGGAGAGGAAAGUGGAAUUCCUGGUGUAGCGGUGAAAUGCGUAGAUAUCAGGAGGAACACCGGUGGUGUAGACGGCUUUCUGGACCGUAACUGACGCUGAGACACGAAAGCGUGGGUAGCAAACAAG